GGGCCCGUGGCAUAGCUUGGAUAUUGCGACGGCCUUCUAAGCCGUAGGUCGGGGGUUCGAAUCCCCUCGGGCUCA
rnacentral:tRNA from 1 species